AAGAAUACUUGGGCCGUAGGCCCAAGUUCCAAGAUGAGUUCAAAUUCCAAUCGGGUCACCAAAUCCAUGGCCAUGUCACUACAGAGAGAUUCCAAGGUUAACAACGCUCAGCACGAACAUCCCUAAGAAAUUUAACUCCACCUUCUUCCGGAAUUCGAACAAUCGUCCAGAACGCGACCUUGCGUUAGCUUCAAAACGAAAAAAAUACGAAAAACUCACGUUAAAGAUUGAAACAACAAACUCACCUUCGGUGGCCGUUCAAAUCAACGUGAAUCUGAAAUCGUCUUCUCCGAUCUGUUUUGUCGUUGAUGACGCGUUGGAUGAACAAUGACGAUGAUGCUCCGAUUUGAAAUGUCAACGCAAGGUUAUGAUCAUCUCCUUUGGUUAUGCUCCGUCGUCAUCAUCCGUCGAUUCUGUUACGGCGUCGUUGCUUUGACGUCGCGUGGUACGCGUGUUACGAGUCGCUAUUGCUGAUGGGUUGCGUUGUGGGGUUGCAGUGAAGAGGGAAAGGCGUUGGAUCCUUUCUUUGAAGAGGGAAGGUAAUCGCUUCUGAGGCCCGUCGAAUCUCGAUCGAUGAAGACCUUUUCCCGAAACCGUGAGUUUUCUCCUUCCGUUUUGCGUUUUCCUCUUCUUUUGUUUCUGUUACGUUCUGUUGUUGAUUGGAGGAGAUUCCGUAAAAUUAUGCAGGUUGACGGAUUUUUAUGUGGACCUCAUUCAGAGCAGAUGGUGGAAGCUGGUGGUUAUUUGGAGAAGUUGGAGGAUUCCGCGGCGGGUUGCAGGGUGGAGGCGAAUGGGGGUUUGGUGGAUGUGAUUGUGAGGUUGAAGAAGUCGAUGAAGAGAAGUCAGCGUCAGUUCUGGGUUGCAAUGGAGAUGGAAAAAGAAAAAAAAAACGGGUGAAGAAACCAGUUCAGUUCUAUGGAGGUUGUUGAAGUUGUGGAGGUUAUGGAAAAUUGUGGAUUCAGUUAGGAAUUAGUUAGAUUCAAUGACAGUUGGCGACAGUUGGCGACAGUUGGAAUUGAUUAGGCGGUUAGGACGGUUGAAGAGAGUUGGAAUUCGGUUCGAGUUGGUUUCGACAGUUGCUAUUCAUCAUGGGAAGUUAUGGCACUUGGCAGGUUAGUUACCGAGUCGGUUCUCAUAUGAAGUUAGUCAUGGUUUCAGUGAGUGUUUCCAGUUCUCUAUUAUGCUAUGCUUCUAUUUUGCCUCCUUCUUUCCACUGUUAUGCUGUGGAUUCAAAUGGCUUAAUGUUGGAAAAGGUUGAUGUAUAUUUGUGUUUUUGCAGGCUAACGAUUUACGGUCUUUGUUACGGAGCUAUGGUCGGCAUGUUGUAAGGCUUGCAUUGGAUUAGAUUAUGUUGGAGGUGAUGAAAGCAUAAGUUUGAACUGAGUUAUGGUGAGGGAAGUUAGAAGCAGUUUUGAGCUAUGGUCGGCAUGUUGUAAGGCUUGCAUUGGAUUAGAUUAUGUUGGAGGUGAUGAAAGCAUAAGUUUGAACUGAGUUAUGGUGAGGGAAGUUAGAAGCAGUUUUGAAAUUGUUAUUAUUUUUUUUCAUGAAAUUUGCAGGUUAAAUGGGUUUGUUUGAAGUGUACGAUCCUUCCAACUGCAUGAAUGAGUCCACAAUGGGAGGUGCGACAAUGACAGUUGGUUCACCCAAGUUAAGCAAAUAUUGAGGAGAUUAUUCAUUGGGUACACUUGCCAUAUUAGCUCUCAAAACCUUGUUGCCGGCCGAUGUUCCUUUUUUAUGCUGUUAUUUGGAAUGCAUGGCCUGCAUGGAACGCAUGUUUUUAUGUAUGGAAAUAAUUGGAUUUGAAAUGUAUGAAUUGGUAUGGAUUAGUGUGUUUUUUGGGCUUUUGUUGUAAUUUUUGUGCAUUGAAUGUGUAAUGUAGGUAAUUGAAUUAGAAAUGUGAGGAAUCUGUGUAAUGUUUAAAUUGGAAUUGAAUACAUGUGAUUUUGGAAAUUGGCUUAUGUAAUGAAAGUGUAGUUUUGCAACUAAUGGUUGAAAUGUUUGUAGUGCAUUUGAAUUGUCAAUUAGAAAUAAUG
rnacentral:lncRNA from 1 species